rnacentral:rRNA from 1 species
UACAGAGGGGGCAAGCGUUGUUCGGAAUUACUGGGCGUAAAGCGUGCGUAGGUGGUUCGUUAAGUCUGUCGUGAAAGCCCCGGGCUCAACCUGGGAAUUGCAUUCGAGACUGAAUAGCUAGGGUACGGUAGAGGGAAGCGGAAUUUCCGGUGUAGCGGUGAAAUGCGUAGAUAUCGGAAGGAACAUCAGUGGCGAAAGCGGCUUCCUGGACCAGUACCGACGUUCAGGCACGAAAGCGUGGGGAGCAAACAGG